GUGUGUUCACUUCAACAGCACAUAUACUAUUCAUAAAACUGGGGCAAUAUAGAGAAAAUUAGCAUGAGUCCUGCAUAAAGAUGAUGUGCAAAUACAUGAAGCUUUCCUUAUUUUU
rfam:Otolemur garnettii contig180000, whole genome shotgun sequence.